CUGUUUUUGCUCACAAACACAAGUAACAAUUGAGAUCCAGCUUUCUGAGCUCUUGCAUCAUGUCGCUCACAUGCAUCCUUCAGAAAUCUAAUGAGAGGAUCAACAAAAUUCUCAGAUGACAUAGAAUGACAGGAUUGAUGAUUAUUUUGCAAAUGGCUUUUGACAUCUUCAACCAUUUUGCAUUGAGAGCCCCAAUUAAGCUCAGAGAGUC
rnacentral:misc_RNA from 1 species